CACACACGCACACGCGCGCACACACACGAUGCAUUCUGCGUACCAGUCAUACGGGAGUCACAGGAUUGAAAUACUCUUGUCCUGCUUUCUCGGGGCACAUAGCUGGGCAGAGGGACCCAAGUUCAAAGUUGCCUCACGGAGCCUUCUUCCCUCAGGGGCGGUCCUAACGACCUCAGUCUGCGACAGAAGCGGGCCUUAGAGGCUCUCGCCUCCUGCUCUGUAAUCUGACAUCCUUUUCCCCACCUCUUCCAGCGAAGGCCCCGGGGAGCCGCCUCUUCAUCCACUCACAGGUCACUCCCUUCUUAGCUGGAACCUGGACCCUGGCUCAACUUGAAUUCCUUGGCCUCCCACUGGUUUCUCUCUGGAGCUGCAUUUUUCAACCUGUUGUUUGUGACUCUGUUCCAUGUGUCUUCAUUCUGGGGCUCGGGCUGAAAAAGCAGCUUCAAUCUGGUGGCAGAGGGGAAGAGCAAGAAAGAUGGUGGAAACGUGAGGUCCAAAGGCCUUAGCUUGGGCAUGGUCUAUGUCCCUCCUGUUCCUAUUCCAUUUGCUGAAAGGAGUCUUAUCGCCAAGUCCAACAGUAGGAUGGGAAGUACAAUUCUCCCACAAGGAUGGGUACCAGGGAGAGGCCCUGUAGGGAUGGGUUGGGAGAGAAGGGAGUGGAUUUUUUAACACGUCAUACCACACCCUUCUGGGCUUGGUCUUGGGUCCAAGCUGCCCUGGAAUUUGGAGUUCGGGGUCUUGUACUUCCACUCGACACAUCCCUGUGUCUCCAUAGCAACUGUUUACUGACCCCUUCCUCUACUCCCUCUGAGACCCUGGCCAUCCUCCUGGGGUCUUCAGUGGGCAAAGCUUCGGCCCUCUGGCUCGAAGCGUCUCUGUUUCUUGCAUUUCUGCCUGCAUGCUGGGGAGGCCUGGAAACACUCACCCUGGUUCCUCAAUAGAACUGCUGUGACAAUUAGAAUUCUUUUGUCAAACUGUUCUUUAUCUAAAUUCAGAGAGUAAAUUUAGAUUUUGCGUAUUGGAUUUUCUUAAAGUGGAAUGCGUUCGGUAGCUUUCUUUUUAGCAAGUGUUUUACUUUUUCACAAGAGAUGGUUCACACCAGUUAUGUCUUUUGCUGGUAUUCUUUUUUUAUCAGAUUCAAUUUCACAUCAGCCUGAGUCCCAGAAAGGUUGAUGUCUUCCCCUGGACACACAGCAUGGCAUUCCCAGAGCCAUGUUGCUGCCCAGAUCUGGACAUGCCAGGGCAGCCUCCUCUGGAAGCCCAUUUACGCUUGAAGUCCAGGGACCACUUGUGGGGGACCCACUUGCUCUUACUGGGGUCUGGGAGAUGUCAGGGACGUCAGUGGCACAAGCUUGACCCAAGGGGACUUCAGUAUCUCUCUGAGGACAUAGAAACACACUCACACUGACACUCACAUACUCUGCAUACAAAUCUUUUCAGAACCAGACAAAGUGGAUAACACAAUGAUCCAGAAGGGAAGCAGAGUGCAAGUCUUAAGGUUUGAGUUCAAAUUUCAGUCCUGCCCCUAACUGGCUGUGUGGUCUUGCAUAAGCUACUUCUUUUAUCUGGGACUCCAUUUUCUUCCACCGUCAAAGAUGAAUUUAAACUCAAUCUACCUGGGAUUGGAGUGGGCAGGGGUGAACACACUGGCACAAUUCCCACCAGAUGUUGAGGCCUAUACAGUCCUAACUCUUUUCAGUUUGGAGAAAGAUGCUGAUGGAAACCCAAACUCAAACUGGCUUAAGCCAAAAGGAGAAGUUAUUGAAGGGGCUCUAAGUCACAUCUGGAACUUUGGAGACAGCUGAGAUAAAGCCCAAAGCUGGGGGUGAGGGACCACAUGUCAGGGGAGCUUGGAGACAGCCAUGUAGCCUCGAGGCUGCCCUAGGCGAAGGGAAAGAGUGUCCACUCCACUGUCGGCAUCCCAUUUCUGCAAAAGCCUGGCUGGUGAAGUUUCAACCAGGUGACCCAUGAGCAAAACUGGUUUCUGAAGGUACAGACGUGGGUUCACAGCCAGUUCCACCCUUUCGCAGCUGUGUGACCAUGAGCCAGUCCCCCACUGUUUCUGAGCAGAGUUUCUGAGGGUCGAGUGUGAAAAUGUAAGUGCUGGCUCCACCCCGGCUUCCAGAGAGCGCUCAGGCAAGACUCACAUGCCCUGGGGCUAGAACCUACCCUGGCAUGCAAAGCUUAUCCCCUGAACCAACAUGUUGGCUUGUGUCUUCCCCUCUAGUCUUUGAUCAAGGGCAGGGCCACGUCAUAUUUGCGGUUGUUCCCAGUCUUGGCACUGUGCCUGCUGCGUGGCCGUAUAAUCCACGAAUGGCUGUGGAAUGGAGCUACAGGGAGCGGCAGAUGGGAUCCUUCACACAGCAUGUCUGCCCACGUAGGACCUGAACAUAGCUGGGCCCCUUCAGCCUCUGUCCUACCCCUGCGCCCACCCUAUAGCCAUGCAGCACACACACGGCCAGUUCCCAACGUGUGGGUGAACAUUGCGGGUUUCACUGAAGUUUUUGUGGGAAACCAGGGGAGCAGAUGGCAUCAUACAGCACACUCCAGCCUAAUCACAGCAGCCCUGGGUUUCUCCCUUCUCUCCUUCGUCAUCUCUCUUCCAGGCAGUGCUCUUCCCCUCCUCUCCAAUCCCAGUUUCUUUAACAAAACCAAAUCCUCAUUUUACAUCCCCAAUGAAGCAAAACAAAGCCGGAUAGGACACAGACCACAGGGCUCCUGCUCCACCGGUAUCUCAUUCAACCUCCUUUAUCCCCAUCUUUUUAUUAUGGCCAACCAUUUUAUCCUCACGCAGGCCUCUGUGCCCUGCACACACAACAGCUUCCUCAAGCUGCCCUCCAUGUGGGUGCUGUGAGGCUCCGAGAGGAGACAGGACUUGCCCCAUGCCACCCAGCCCCUGGGCAGGGCUCCUCCCUGCCUUGCCCCCAGAGGGCCUAGGUUAGGUCCCCUCCCCAAGCCCAUUUGUCCCUGUGGUUGGGCAUGGGGCAGGAUGACACCUGGCUGGCUGAUUCUCCUCGUAGAGUUUAGGGUGCUACACACACUGAAUUCAGAUGUGGCUCUGAGCAGGCCGUUCAUUCAUUCCUGACCGUAUUGACUACAGAAUUGAGUGCUACAAGCAAGGAGUUUAGCUCUUAUUCUCCUACUGAUUUGAUUUAAUGUUUGGUUUAUUCCUGUCCCUUUCUCCCCCGCUCUCCUCAUCAGUUUGACAUUUGCAUAGUGUUUCCCUGCAGUUUUGUCGAACACCCAUGGGGGUUUUGCUGGCAACUCCCUGCUUUGGCUUGAAUGGUUUUCUUUGGGGGAGUUUUGAACUC